UACGGAGGGAGCUAGCGUUGUUCGGAAUUACUGGGCGUAAAGCGCACGUAGGCGGCUUUGUAAGUUAGAGGUGAAAGCCUGGAGCUCAACUCCAGAAUAGCCUUUAAGACUGCAUCGCUUGAAUCCAGGAGAGGUGAGUGGAAUUCCGAGUGUAGAGGUGAAAUUCGUAGAUAUUCGGAAGAACACCAGUGGCGAAGGCGGCUCACUGGACUGGUAUUGACGCUGAGGUGCGAAAGCGUGGGGAGCAAACAGGG
rnacentral:rRNA from 1 species